AGGACUUUAACGUAUCUUUUAGCGGGGUGGGGGGGGGGCGGCACAGUUCAACCCAAAAUAACCUCAUUAACCACGACCACACCUGGCACCCAGCUCUUGCCUUUUAAAUACCAUUUUCUACUAAAAAGGAACCAGGGCUCCUUGGAGAAAUGGCUGAUUCCAGGUCUUGAUCAGGGAAAGUGCAAGGUAAGCCUGGAAAAUCUUGUGAGAAAAAGUAAGGCUGUGCCCUAAGAAUUAUGGGGACAUGGCAACAGAACACAGAAGCUGGCUUGAGGGUCUCACCUGGCUCUAGAGUUUGAGCAUCGAUAAAUAAUGGUAGUAAAGGAUUAUAAUCCAUUGAAUAAAAUAAGAAAUCAUGGGUCCACACAGAUAUAAGUAAACUAAUAAAUUAAGUUUGAUGAGGUACAGGAUAUUUACACAGUUUCAAAGUACAUCCUCAAAAUACUUAAUAAUUACAAUGGGGAAAAGGGUAAAUUUACAGUGGAGAACUCUGGCUGAAUCACCUUCAUCAAGUGAUUAAAAUGAAUAUCACCAGUAAUGGGUCAAAUCUAAAUCUUGUGCAGCCUGAGAGGAUGCCAGGAGAAUAGAGUAUUUGUGAGAUUCCCGCUGAAGAUCACAGCCUGAAUUUAACCACAAAGAAAUGUCAGACAAACCCAAACCGAGGGAUACCCUUCAAAAAUCAUCGACCUGUAAUUUUCAAAAUCAUCAAGGUCAUGAAAAUUAAGAAAAGACAGAGGAAACAUUCCGGACCAAAGCAGCUGCCACAGACGUGAAAGCCAAACGCUGCAUGUGAUUCUGAACUAGACCAUUUCAUCAUCGAGAACUUCUUUAUGACAACUGGUGAAACUUUAAAAAAAAUCUGAAGAUUAGGUGGCAGUGACGGAUCAACGUUAGCUUCCUGAUUUUGAUAUUUGACUUGUGGUUAUGUAGGAGAAUCUCCUUGUGUGCACGAAACAAGACUCCAGAGCAUUUGGAGGUGGUGAGGCUUCCUGUUGGCAACUUGCUGUCACAUGAUUUGGGGGAAAGAAAGUUAUUUGUAUGUACUUGCAACUUUUCUGUAAAGUUUGAAAUUUUUUUUUAAACAACAACUUUUUAAAAUACCAUUUUAAUCAGCAUGCCGCUGAUUAAAUCAGAUUCCGCUACAAGCAUCAUAUACUUAGCGAGAAAUCUAACAAAACAUAGUCAAAACUUCUAUAAAGGAAAAACUAACAGAGGCAAAAAUAAACCUUACGCUAUUUAAGAAUACUUACGGGCUUCCCUGGUGGCGCAAUGGUUGAGAGUUCACCUGCUGAUGCAGGGGACACGGGUUCGUGCCCCGGUCCGGGAAGAUCCCAGAUGCUGCGGAGCGGCUGGGCCCGUGAGCCAUGGCCGAGGAGCCUGCGUGUCGGGAGCCUGUGCUCCACAACGGGAGAGGCCACAACAGUGAGAAGCCCGCGUACCGCAGAAAAAAAAAAACAACAACUUACAUCAUAAGGUAAGGCUAAAAAAAAAAAAAUCAAAGAACAAUGUACACCAGAUUCAGGAUAGUGGUAACCCCUGGGGUUGGGGAGAAGGUUAUGUCACAGAGAGGACACACAGGGGCUUCAGGGUGUAAGUGAUAUUCCAUUUUUUUUCCAAACAAAGGUGUUAUUAUGCAUUAUAAUUCAUACACACGUAGUACAUAUAUUUUUCUUGUAUAUCAAAUAUUUCAUAGUAAGGAAGAAAAUACAUGAUGUUAUUGCAUUUAUAAUAGAAAAAUAAACUGUGUAUGUAUAUAUAACCAUAUAUGUAAAACUAUGUGUGUGCAUCCAUAUUUAUAAAAUGUAUAGAAAAGGGACUAGAAAGACCCACUAACAAAAACAAAACGCCUUACAAAUUUAUGUUGAGCACAUGUCAAAUUUUUUAAUUUAUUUUUUAAUUAUUGUUCAUACUCGUGGAGGUCUGUUUCUUGUUUUUUUCUUAAUUAAUCAAUUUAUUUAUUUUUGGCUGUGUUGGGUCUUCGUUGCUGUGUGUGGACUUUCUCUAGUUGUGUCGAGCAGGGGCUCUUCGUUGCGGUGCGUGGGCUUCUCAUUGCCCUGGCUUCUCUUGUUGCGGAGCACGGGAUCUAGGCGUGGGGGCUUCAGUAGUUGUGGCUAAGUUGUGGAUCCUUAACCACUGCGCCACCAGGGAAGUCCCACAUGUCAAAUUUUAUUAAGUUGCUGACAAGAGAAAACAGGAAGGAAAAAAGUAUGCCAGCUUGGUGGAAAGUUGCCGCUGUGGGAUGAUAGGAAAUACACCAGUGGCUGGGGCUGGGGACCUUUUGCCAUUCAAGUAAGAGAGGGUAGGCUUUGGAAUGAAGAAAGAUUAAGACAGUUGAAAAGCACCUGUAAUGCUCUAUAAUUCCUGUUCUCUAUAAAUCUUCAAAUGAUCUCACUAGUAGCAUCUUAAUGUGUAUGGUUCUUUUUAUUUUGAUACAAAGAAAACGUUACAUUUAAAAUAUAAGUGUUUGGGGACUUCCCUGGUGGUCCAGCGGUUAAGAUUCCACGCUCCCAAUGCAGGGGGCCUGGGUUUGAUCCCUGGUCAGGGAACUAGAUCCCACAUGCUGCAACUAAAAGAUCCUGCAAUUAAGACCCGGCACAGCCAAAUAAAUAAAUAAAAAUAAUAAAAUGUAAAUGUUUGAAAUAUACCACAAUUUUUAUAAUCCUUUUUGGCAUUUCUUUUUUUGCUAUAUCAGGAGCUUCAAGAAAAAAAAAAAAAAAGGAAUUGGCCCGGGCCUCCCUUGUCUUCUGAGCAGCUCUCACUGGAUCUUGAUUUUUGAUCAUCACAUCUAACAAGAAUAACAUCAAAAAAGAAGUUGAUAACGCUUUUCAAAUGAUUCUCUUGGAUUUUCUAGGGUCUUCGUUGCGGAUGUGGAACCAGCAGAAUUGCAUUUUAGUAUUCAUGUGAAGAAAACGCAAGCAAGUUUAAAAACAGAAAUUUCCUCUGCUCUCAGCUGGCGAAGACGGGGGACGGCAAAGACAGGCAACGUCCCAAGGAUCAUUUGAAGAAAUGGUACUUAAAAGAUGGGACUUCCCUGGUGGUGCAGUAGUUAAGAAUCCACCUGCCAAUGCAGGGGACAUGGGUUCGAACCCUGGUCCGGGAAGAUCCCACAUGCCACGGAACAACUAAGCCCGUGUGCCACAACUACUGAGCCUGUGCUCUAGAGCCCACGAGCCACAACUACUGAACCCACGUGCUGCAACUACUGAAACCUGUUGUCUCUUUCCCCCCAGGGCCAACUACGGAAGUACCCCAAGAGCUGCUGGAUCCUAUAGCCACUUGGGCCAUGUGGGCAGCCCCUUGCGCAGCUCUCUAUUGGCCAGCAAAGAGCUUCCAAGAUGACAAGUGGCAGUUUCAAGAUGAACAGAUAUCAUCCUGCUUGGAAGACCACCACGCUGACUGAAGAAAGUAAAAUCAAUCCAGAUCAGUAGGCUGAACUUGUGAUGUUUGACCCUGUGUUUGAGUUUUUACCAACUCACGAGUGGUGUUUAACGGCCUGGCCAUUGGGUCAUGCAGAAGGGCAAUUGUCUGCUCAUCACAACAUCUGUCCGAGGAGUCUCUCUCCUCUUGUCUGCAGCUGAUCCUGCAAGCUAUGCUCUGUACCCCUCGUGCCCCACCUCCGCAUGACCUCAUUCCAUCUCCCUGUGGCUUCACCAUGCUUUCUGAGGGCUGCCCAGCACCCACUCACCCAGCUGCUAGUAGCAGAGCCUGACUUUGUCUGUAGACCCCUCUGCCCUCACCCUCCGUCCAUGUCAUCUGGGUUAGGCUGACUCCACCCUCAGCCCCAAGUGACCCAGGCCUCGCCAGUCCACCACAUUGCCAGGUGAGAUGGGCUCAGGAGUGGACACUCAACCAAAGUCAGGCCCAUCUGAAUCAAGAGACUCAGUUCUCAGACUUUUGUUGAAGGCAUUAGGUAAGUGAGGUCAUUGUUUGUUGGAAUUAACCCUGGGAGAAUGGGAGGCCAGAAUUGCUGCAGCCACGUUGCCACUAGGAGAGGAGGGCCUUUUGGACAAUAAAGCCAAUCACAGAGGCCAGAGAGCAAAGCCUGAGGCCUGGGGCUGUUUACGCCUGAAUCCAGCUAUACCUGAAGUAAGCCCUAUCCCUCAAGUUUUCAGUUACAAGAAGCCAUUAAAGCUUUCUGGCUUAGUCUGUUUGGCCUCCGAGCCCUCACAGAAUCCAUCAGGAGAAUCAUAUUUUAAAGUGACACAUGAGGGACUUCCCUGGUGGUCCAGUGGUAAAGAAUCCACCUUACAACGUAGGGGAUGCGGGUUCGAUCCCUGGUAAGGAACUAAGAUCCCACAUGCCUCGGUGCAACUGAGCUGUGUGCCACAACUACUGAGCUCUCACACCUCAGCUAGAGCCCAAGCGCCACAAACUACAGAGCCCACGCUCCUUGCAGCCCGUGCGCCACUAGAGAAGAGAAACUUCUCAACUGGAGAAGAGGAAAAAACCUGCACGCCACAACUAGAGAGAAGCUCGCGCACCACAGUGAAAGAUCCCGCAUGCCUCAACGAAGAUCCCGCCUACUGAGACCCGACGCAGCCAAAAAUAAUAAAUAAAUCUUUUAAAAAAUAAAGUGACACAUGAAAGACACAAAGAAACAUUUCUCUUUUAAAAAAAAAUCUUCAGCGAUAGCCUGCAGCUCCCCCUAGUGGAUAACAUUGUUUUUCAGCGUCUGGAUAAUAUGCCACCAGGUUUCCCAAAAGUCUGUAUAUAUCUAAGUUAAUUUAGAACAUCUUUCCUAGUUCAAAAAAUAUAUAAUUGCUGCUAUUGAUAAUCCUGAUCACAGCACUUUCCCAUAAUACUUUGUAGUUCAGAACUAGAAUCCUGAUCGAAACAUGUCCCAAAAUCGUACAGUGAAUUUAGAAUGUGCUAGACCAUUAGGAAUCGUAUUUUAUAACUAUUGAAAAAAGAGAAAAAUAAGAAGACAGGAUAAAAGUAGCAGAAAACUAUAAUGCGGUAGAAUUUUAAUAUCCAUACAAGGAUAACUUCAUCGGCUUCUGCUUUCAAGGACUGUCUCACACCCCACCUCUCUUUUCGCUCCAUAUCCCAUGGAAAUGAUCAAAGAGAGAAACAUUACAAGAAAAAAUUUAAAAAAUCUGUUCCAGCAAACAAAAAACUGGAGAGAAUGCCAUCAACCGAACUGAAGAUUUGAGGGGUUUGAGGUCCACCGCUAAGGCGCCCAGUGGCUGGUCCAGUCCCUGCAGGGAAAUGUGCCCUUUGCCUCUUCUCCACUCACACAGCAUCCAGCCGACAGCCCUCCGCUGUGCUAAGAUGGUCCUGCGGAGGGGAGAGGGUCCCACGGGGGAAGCACAAGAUGAUUUGUGCAAAUACCCGGGGAGCCUCUAUCCCUGCCCACUUCCACCCAAGCGUUAAGUGUGAACAGCCAACAGAGAACCACCGCAUGAGUAAGAACCAUCAGCAUCCUGAUAAAGACGGGACAGUCUGGAAAAUAACGGGCCCCAGGAGAACAGAGGAAAUACAAAAGUACUUAAAAUAUUCAAAUUAAUGUCCUCAAAAUUAUGUAUGACAGAAUAUCGCAUUCAUAAAAAAAAAAACCUGGUACACGAAAUGUGGUAUAAACAUACAGUGGGAUAUUAUU